AUAAACCAUCAUGGGAGACUGGGCAUGGCACCCCACUAGGUGCAGCAAUCCAGAGAGCGGGCAUGGAACCUUGCCUGGGCAUCAUGCUAGAGCUGUUGGUAGGGUGCUGACCAAUCCAGCUACUACCCAGGCCCAGAACCAGGACUAUGAGGUAGCCCACUCCAACAUCCACCUCAUGUAUGAACUGCUGGAUCAUGUAAAGGGGCCAGACCUGCAGAUCCAAAACUACAGGAUCUCCAUGACACAGGGCUACAACAGGAUAUCCAAGAGGAGUCUUAGCGAGAGCCCAGUAUCCAUAGUCUAUCAGAAGCCAGAGGACUUGAACCAGACCAAUGACUCAUUGCAAGGAACACUUGUGGGACCAGCGAAGCAGGUGGUGCAUGGCUAUAAAAUCCCAGUAUUCAAGUAUUCAAGAGGAUGUGGCAAGAGAAUCACGACCUUUUGAGGCCACUCUGGGCUACAGAGUGAUACCAUGUGAAACAAUGAGUGAGGGGACAUGAAGACUUGCCUUCAAAAUUGAUGCCAGUUACAUCAUUCUUGGGUUCUAAGAAAAGGAGAAGUUGGCACCCAUUCAUCUCUCUGUUGCCCUCUCUGCCCAUCUCUUUGUCCUUACUCCAUGGACUUUCUUCUGCCCUGUUACGAUAUCACAGGAAGGAUCUUAAUAGAUGCGAGCAACUAAAUGUUCUACUUCACAGCUUCUAGCAAUGUAGUAUGAAUGUCUCAGAGGUAAGAAGAAAGAAAGCGGGGAACCGGACAGCAUGGAGUAACACAUCGGCUCAGCACUGCUAUGAUCAGGAAUACCUUACAUUACCUGAAAUCUCGGAGGAGAGAAAGACCCAGAUUCUCAAUUAUUGGAUUCUGGAUGGAGAAACAUCAGGUCUUUGUGAGAACUUGCAACAGAUCUCAGAUGAUUGGCACAGAAUGUUCCAGAGGAUAAGAAAGAUCCACAGCUAAGGCUAUUGUUUUGUUUUUUCUACAGUAAAGUACUGAAACAGAAGGAAUGAGGCCAUUCUCUUCAGCUGCAUGGAGGAAAGAGGCAAAGCUUUUUACAGGUUGGUAUGAGAAAAUUAAUGGUCUAGCAAAGUUUUGUUUGAGUUUGUUCUUAGUAUUUUCUGUUUGCCUAUUUUAUGUCAUAAAAAUAAAGUGAAAUAUAUUUUGAUUUGUUCUAACUGUGCAUCU